rnacentral:rRNA from 1 species
GAUCAUGGCUCAGGAUGGACGCUAGCUACAGGCUUAACACAUGCAAGUCGAGGGGCAUCAGUUUGGUUUGCUUGCAAACCAAAGCUGGCGACCGGCGCACGGGUGAGUAACACGUAUCCAACCUGCCCCAUACUCGGGGAUAGCCUUUCGAAAGAAAGAUUAAUAUCCGAUAGCAUAUAUUUCCCGCAUGGGUUUUAUAUUAAAGAAAUUCGGUAUGAGAUGGGGAUGCGUUCCAUUAGUUUGUUGGGGGGG